rfam:Microbacterium mangrovi strain MTSC 115 Contig16, whole genome shotgun sequence.
GCCCCCGUAGCUCAGAGGAAGAGCAGCGGACUUUUAAUCCGCGGGUCGAGAUUUCGAAAUUCUCCGGGGGCA